CCUGCCCGCUGAUUAAUUGAAUGGCCGCAGUAAUUUGACUGUGCAAAGGUAGCAUAAUCAUUAGUUUUUUAAUUAAAAGCUUGUAUGAAGGGUUGGACGAGGUAAAAUCUGUCUCUAUUUAAUUUAUUGUAGAAUUUAAUUUUUAAGUUAAAAAGCUUAAAUUUUAAUAAAAGACGAGAAGACCCUAUAGAUCUUUAUAUUUUUGUUAAUGAUUUUAUUUAGGAUUAUUUUAUUUUUUAUUAAUAAAAUUAUUUUAUUGGGGUAAUAAAGAGAUUAAGUGAAUUCUUUUUUUAUUAUUAUAUAUAUUUAUAGUUAUUUGAUCCAAUUAUUUUGAUUAUAAGAUUAAGUUACCUUAGGGAUAACAGCGUAAUUUUUUUAAAGAGUUCAUAUCGAUAAAAAAGUUUGCGACCUCGAUGUUGGAUUAAAAAUUAUCU
rnacentral:rRNA from 1 species